GCUGGGCGUGGUGGCUCACGCCUGUAAUCCCAGCACUUUGGGAGGCCAAGGUGGGUGGAUCACCUGAGGUCAGGAGUUCGAUACCAGCCUGGCCAACAUGGUGAAACCCCAUCUCUA
ensembl:misc_RNA Metazoa_SRP Metazoan signal recognition particle RNA